UAGAAAUUGAAAAAAACCGGGGAGGCAGAGAGAAGAAAAACUGCUUGUUUGUUUGGCGAGAAAGAAAAGUAGAAUUUUCUUUUCCUUUCGGGAGAGAAAAAAAAUGGUAUUCAACAGUGUGAUGGUAGUAUGGGUGGCGAACAGAUCAGCAGAUGUAUGGCAAUACGUUGCUUGCAUUCCUGACCGUUUAAGCAGUCAACAGUUGCUAGAUCUAAUCUGCUGCUUCCCGUUGCAGCAAUUCGGCCGCUUCGCUCUGUGUCUCUGGACCUUCUUCUGUCUCCCUCCGUCCGAUUCUUACUAUUACUCCUCAUCCAACGACUCUGAUUCGUCAUCUUCGGCUCCCGACUACGACUACUAUUACGAUUCGCAUUCCGAUUGACCGGUCAAUCCAUCAAUGAAUGGACGAUCCUGAACCAAACAUGGGGAUAGGAUAAUUUGUAAGGUUCAGAUCUCCUGGACAUCUUCUUUACCUGCCUAGAAAAAAUACUGUUCAUCAGGAGAAUCAGAGUGAGAGUAAGCCCAACACUCUCAGUAAACAUGGUUUUAUUAUAAAUGUGGUUGACCACUUUGUGUUGCUCCUCUGGAAAAUUCUAGAAGAGAAUAUUAUAUCACACUCAAACUUUUAUGGUAUUUUAUAUUUAAGCUACCUCUAAUUUUAUUUA